rnacentral:tRNA from 1 species
CAGUAUGUAGUUUAAUUAAAAAUGUAAUAUUUGGGUUAUUAAGAUAAAUUACUGA